UUAAUUGAAGCCAAAGGGAGAGGCACCUUAAUGUUAAUAAGGAAAUUGAUAAUUUAUCCAAUUAAA
rnacentral:tRNA from 1 species